rnacentral:rRNA from 1 species
CCUACGGGUGGCAGCAGUGGGGAAUAUUGGACAAUGGGCGAAAGCCUGAUCCAGCCAUGCCGCGUGUGUGAAGAAGGCCUUCGGGUUGUAAAGCACUUUCAGUGGGGAAGAAAGCCUUGGGGCUAAUACCCUCGAGGAAGGACAUCACCCACAGAAGAAGCACCGGCUAACUCCGUGCCAGCAGCCGCGGUAAUACGGAGGGUGCGAGCGUUAAUCGGAAUUACUGGGCGUAAAGCGCGCGUAGGCGGUCUGAUAAGCCGGUUGUGAAAGCCCCGGGCUCAACCUGGGAACGGCAACCGGAACUGUCAGGCUAGAGUGCAGGAGAGGAAGGUAGAAUUCCCGGUGUAGCGGUGAAAUGCGUAGAGAUCGGGAGGAAUACCAGUGGCGAAGGCGGCCUUCUGGACUGACACUGACGCUGAGGUGCGAAAGCGUGGGUAGCAAACAGGAUUAGAUACCCGGGUAGUC